rnacentral:rRNA from 1 species
UGGGGAAUAUUGGACAAUGGGCGAAAGCCUGAUCCAGCCAUGCCGCGUGUGUGAAGAAGGUCUUCGGAUUGUAAAGCACUUUAAGUUGGGAGGAAGGGCAUUUACCUAAUACGUAAGUGUUUUGACGUUACCGACAGAAUAAGCACCGGCUAACUCUGUGCCAGCAGCCGCGGUAAUACAGAGGGUGCAAGCGUUAAUCGGAAUUACUGGGCGUAAAGCGCGCGUAGGUGGUUUGUUAAGUUGAAUGUGAAAUCCCCGGGCUCAACCUGGGAACUGCAUCCAAAACUGGCAAGCUAGAGUAUGGUAGAGGGUGGUGGAAUUUCCUGUGUAGCGGUGAAAUGCGUAGAUAUAGGAAGGAACACCAGUGGCGAAGGCGACCACCUGGACUGAUACUGACACUGAGGUGCGAAAGCGUGGGGAGCAAACAGG